rnacentral:rRNA from 1 species
CCCACCCGUAAGGGUUAAGGCCCCUGGUAGAUGACCAGGUUGAUAGGCCGGACGUGUAAGCACAGCAAUGUGUUCAGCGGACCGGUACUAAUAGGCCGAGGGCUUGGAUAA